rnacentral:lncRNA from 10 species
UCCAGGUCUGCUGAGUCAGGCAGAAUUAACCCCAGGUGAUUUGUGUGCAGAGUACAAUUUGAGACGUGCUGCCUUGCGUGACCAGGUGAUCUGAGUUUACUUCUAGCGCUAAGACCCAACUUUCUCUAAGAUUAUCUUACUUCCAAAGGAAAAAGGAGUGAUGACUGCAGUGAUUGGGCCACUGAAGGAGCCUGUCCAGAGAAACAAGAUCCAGAUUCUUGCCAAUGCCCAGACAGAUGGGGGUCCCUGUGUGAGGAAAGGAGCACUCAGUGUGGGUCCUGCUACCUCCUGAAUCCUUUUCCACCUUCUGUGGCACCUGCUAUUUUGCUGCUGAGGUUUCUUCUGGGCCUAUAUGACAUGCCCGUAAUUUUGAGAUGGCAGUUUCACCAGAUGGAGGAGGUUUGGAUCCCUGAGUCACCAGAUGGAGGCAAGCUCUGGCCAACUUGCAUUGGAGUUCAUACAAAGUGAUUCAACAAAUGAAUUUCGCAGUACCACAUCUGCCACCUCCUGAUUUGUGGUAGGUUACUUCUGUGGUUCAAUUUUCCUAUCUGCAAAUGAGAAUAAUUUUACCUAUG